rnacentral:rRNA from 1 species
UUGGGAAUAUUGGACAAUGGGCGAAAGCCUGAUCCAGCAAUGCCGCGUGAAUGAUGAAGGCCUUCGGGUCGUAAAGUUCUUUCAGCAGGGACGAAGGGAAACUUGACGGUACCUGCAGAAGAAGCACCGGCUAACUCCGUGCCAGCAGCCGCGGUAAUACGGAGGGUGCAAGCGUUGUUCGGAAUCAUUGGGCGUAAAGCGCGUGUAGGCGGUCACUUAAGUCUGGUGUGAAAUCCCGGGGCUCAACCCCGGAAGUGCAUUGGAUACUGGGUGGCUAGAGGACGAGAGAGGGAAGCGGAAUUCCUGGUGUAGGGGUGAAAUCCGUAGAUAUCAGGAGGAACAUCGGUGGCGAAGGCGGCUUCCUGGCUCGUACCUGACGCUGAGACGCGAGAGCGUGGGUAGCAAACAG